UACGAAGGGGGCUAGCGUUGUUCGGAUUUACUGGGCGUAAAGCGCACGUAGGCGGAUCGAUCAGUCAGGGGUGAAAUCCCAGGGCUCAACCCUGGAACUGCCUUCUAGACUGCAGGCCUCGAGGUCAGGAGAGGCGAGUGGAAGUACCGAGUGUAGAGGUGAAAUUCGUAGAUAUUCGGUGGAACACCAGUGGCGAAGGCGACUCGCUGGACUGAUACUGACGCUGAGGUGCGAAAGCGUGGGGAGCAAACAGG
rnacentral:rRNA from 1 species